UGGCCACACAUUCAGGUCGCUGGCCAGCACGAGCGUUUAAUGAAAAGCAAAUAUCACAACUUCUCAAUAACUAUGACUUCAAGGAUUCGGAUAAUGAAGAUACUCGUAUGUUUAUACCUGAACCCGACCAAGAAUCAAAUAGGGACUUUUCUUCGUUUUCGAAAUAUGAAGAUGGAGAAAUAGAAGUUGCAGUACGCGGACGUGUAUCUAGUCAUCGAUUUCAAAGUGCUCGUGGUCAAUGAGGUGGGCGUAGCCGUGGUAGAAGCACAAGUGCACAAGGGCGCGACGUGGGCAAAGUGCAAGGGGUAGGUCUGGAGAUCUAGUAAAGGUUUUGAACACCCAAAUCCAACCUCCGUGGAUGUAGUAUGGUAUUAAAAUAAAGAAAAGAGGUUUUUUAAUUCACCUUUUUAUAAGAAGAAGAUUAGUUAUGUUGUAAUAUAUAUUUUUUUUUACUUUAGUGAUGUUUAGAGAAAAUAUAUGAUUUAAU